UACAGAGGUGGCAAGCGUUAAUCGGAAUUACUGGGCGUAAAGCGUGCGCAGGCGGUUUUGUAAGACGGAUGUGAAAUCCCCGGGCUCAACCUGGGAACUGCAUUCGUGACUGCAAGGCUAGAGUGUGUCAGAGGGAGGUGGAAUUCCGCGUGUAGCAGUGAAAUGCGUAGAGAUGCGGAGGAACACCGAUGGCGAAGGCAGCCUCCUGGGAUAACACUGACGCUCAUGCACGAAAGCGUGGGGAGCAAACAGG
rnacentral:rRNA from 1 species